CAAUUACAACAAAAGACGAAAACACAAAAGGACGAAAAACGUUAAUUGCAUUACUUGCAUGCUGGUUUGUUCUAUGAUCAAGUGUGAAGAGACGGGGAAGAUAAAUUAUUGUUAACAAAUUGAUAUUUCGUUAGAUAUUCGUCCAUUUUUGAAGCUGAUUAUGGCAACAUUCUAUCGAUAAUGUUUAUGUCGAUAAGUUCAAGGAUAUGGUGUAACAAAUUUAUUAUUAAUCGACGAUUAGAAGAU